GACGAACGCUGGCGGCGUGCUUAACACAUGCAAGUCGAACGGAAAGGCCCUGCUUUUGUGGGGUGCUCGAGCGGCGAACGGGUGAGUAACACGUGAGUAACCUGCCCUUGACUUUGGGAUAACUUCAGGAAACUGGGGCUAAUACCGGAUAGGAGCUCCUGCUGCAUGGUGGGGGUUGGAAAGUUUCGGCGGUUGGGGAUGGACUCGCGGCUUAUCAGCUUGUUGGUGGGGUAGUGGCUUACCAAGGCUUUGACGGGUAGCCGGCCUGGGAGGGUGACCGGCCACAUUGGGCCUGAGGUACGGCCCAGACUCCUACGGGAGGCAGCAGGGGGGAAUAUUGCACAAUGGGCGGAAGCCUGAUGCGGCAACGCCGCGUGCGUGAUGACGGCCUUCGGGUUGUAAACCGCUUCCGCCUGUGACGAAGCGUGAGUGACGGUAAUGGGUAAAGAAGCACCGGCUAACUACGUG
rnacentral:rRNA from 1 species